rnacentral:rRNA from 1 species
AGCGAACGCUGGCGGCAGGCCUAACACAUGCAAGUCGAGCGAGCAGAUUCCCUUCGGGGAUGAAGCUAGCGGCGGACGGGUGAGUAACACGUGGGCAACCUGCCUUAUAGAGGGGGAUAGCCUUCCGAAAGGAAGAUUAAUACCGCAUAACAUCAGAUUAUCGCAUGGUAGACUGAUCAAAGGAGCAAUCCGCUAUAAGAUGGGCCCGCGUCGCAUUAGCUAGUUGGUGAGGUAACGGCUCACCAAGGCGACGAUGCGUAGCCGACCUGAGAGGGUGAUCGGCCACAUUGGGACUGAGACACGGCCCAGACUCCUACGGGAGGCAGCAGUGGGGAAUAUUGCACAAUGGGGGAAACCCUGAUGCAGCAACGCCGCGUGAGUGAUGAAGGCCUUCGGGUUGUAAAGCUCUUUGAUCAGGGACGAUAAUGACGGUACCUGAAGAACAAGCCACGGCUAACUACGUGCCAGCCGCCGCGGUAAGAC